rnacentral:rRNA from 1 species
AAUAGAUACCCAGGUAGUCCUAGCCGUAAACGAUGAGCACUGGGUUGAAGGGUCCUCCAUAGCCUUUCAGCCGCAGCGAAAGUGUUAAGUGCUCCGCCUGGGGAGUAUGGUCGCAAGGCUGAAACUCAAAGAAAUUGACGGGGGCUCACACAAGCGGUGGAGGAUGUGGCUUAAUUCGAGGCUACGCGAAGAACCUUAUCCUAGUCUUGACAUGCACGGGAUUAACUCCCUGAAAGGGGAGCCAGGCCUUCGGGUACAACGUGCACAGGUGCCGCAUGGCUGUCGUCAGCUCGUGCUGUGAAGUGUCGGGUUAAGUCCCUUAACGAGCGAAACCCUUGUCGCUAGUUGCCAGCGAGUCAUGUCGGGGACUCUAGCGAGACCGCCGGCGUUAAGCCGGAGGAAGGCGGGGAUGACGUCAAGUCCUCAUGGCCUUUAUGACUAGGGCUGCACACGUCCUACAAUGGCGCGCACAAAGGGAUGCAAAAUCGCGAGAUCAAGCAAAUCCCAAAAAACGCGCCCCAGUUCGGA